rnacentral:rRNA from 1 species
UACGAAGGGGGCUAGCGUUGUUCGGAAUUACUGGGCGUAAAGCGCACGUAGGCGGCUAUCUAAGUCGGGGGUGAAAGCCUUGGGCUCAACCCAAGAAUUGCCUUCGAUACUGGAUAUCUCGAGACCGGGAGAGGUGAGUGGAAUUCCGAGUGUAGAGGUGAAAUGCGUAGAUAUGCGGAAGAACACCAGUGGCGAAGGCGGCUCACUGGCCCGGUUCUGACGCUGAGGUGCGAAAGCGUGGGGAGCAAACAGG